CUGGAAUCCCAAAGCAUUUGCACAAAGGAC
rnacentral:piRNA from 1 species